ACGGGGAGGCAGCAGUGGGGAAUCUUNGACAAUGGGCGCAAGCCUGAUCUAGCCAUGCCGCGUGAGUGAUGAAGGCCUUAGGGUCGUAAAGCUCUUUCGCCAGGGAUGAUAAUGACAGUACCUGGUAAAGAAACCCCGGCUAACUCCGUGCCAGCAGCCGCGGUAAUACGGAGGGGGUUAGCGUUGUUCGGAAUUACUGGGCGUAAAGCGUACGUAGGCGGAUCAGAAAGUAAGGGGUGAAAUCCCAGGGCUCAACCCUGGAACUGCCUNNNAAACUNNNGGUCUUGAGUUCGAGAGAGGUGAGUGGAAUUCCNAGUGUAGAGGUGAAAUUCGUAGAUAUUCGGAGGAACACCAGUGGCGAAGGCGGCUCACUGGCUCGAUACUGACGCUGAGGUACGAAAGUGUGGGGAGCAAACAGGAUUAGAUACCCUGGUAGUCCACACCGUAAACGAUGAAUGCCAGUCGUCGGGCAGNAUNCUNUUCGGUGNCACACCUAA
rnacentral:rRNA from 1 species